rnacentral:misc_RNA from 1 species
ACAAGUUCAGAAGGAAAUAAAGAACAGAGAAACCUGCUUCUUGUGGCUAAGCUACUAAAAAAGGGAAAUCCUCUGUUCUUUGAAUUUAAAGCACUAGAAAUCUGGAGUGGAGCCAUGAACGAAAACCUAUAGUGAAUUCAUGAGGAUUUGUGCUUCCGCCAGAAAGAUUUGCAACAGGGUUGAAAAGCAUUUUUAGUUGCUGCAUCCUCCCAUUGUAGUUCUUUCCACCAGUCUUCAUUUCCUUCAAUGAUGAUUUUUCGUUCUUUGGCACUAUCAGAGUUGAGUGGGAGUUUCUUAAGCUUUGGGCAGUUAUAUACGUAGAUUCUGUUUAGACAUGAGCAUGGAAGACGUUGCCAUGGAUGCUAUUCAUUCAUCGCAAAUGAGAUAAAUAAAGAACUUCGAGUCUUCUAAAUGGAAUCAGAUUUUUCGCCUCUGGAACUUCCCUCAGUCUUUCUGCGCUGAUUAUUUCUUCUAUUUCAAAGCACAAUGACACUCUAAGAAUAGUUAGAUUUGGAGCUAAAAGAACCCAUGACAAGUGCUCCAGUUUGGAGCAGUUGUCAACAUAUAAUCUGUGAAGACUGUUGAAGAAUCUCUUGCUUAUGAUCCCCGAGUUUCGGAGAUUCUGAGAUGCUUGUAUGUUUUUUGCUUCCCUG